rnacentral:rRNA from 1 species
AGCGUAGACGGUGUGGCAAGUCUGAUGUGAAAGGCAUGGGCUCAACCUGUGGACUGCAUUGGAAACUGUCAUGCUUGAGUGCCGGAGGGGUAAGCGGAAUUCCUAGUGUAGCGGUGAAAUGCGUAGAUAUUAGGAGGAACACCAGUAGCGAAGGCGGCUUACUGGACGGUAACUGACGUUGAGGCUCGAAAGCGUGGGAGCAAACA